rnacentral:rRNA from 1 species
AGCGAACGCUGGCGGCAGGCUUAACACAUGCAAGUCGAGCGGGUGUAGCAAUACAUCAGCGGCAGACGGGUGAGUAACGCGUGGGAACGUACCUUUUGGUUCGGAACAACCCAGGGAAACUUGGGCUAAUACCGGAUAAGCCCUUACGGGGAAAGAUUUAUCGCCGAAAGAUCGGCCCGCGUCUGAUUAGCUAGUUGGUGAGGUAAUGGCUCACCAAGGCGACGAUCAGUAGCUGGUCUGAGAGGAUGAUCAGCCACAUUGGGACUGAGACACGGCCCAAACUCCUACGGGAGGCAGCAGUGGGGAAUAUUGGACAAUGGGGGCAACCCUGAUCCAGCCAUGCCGCGUGAGUGAUGAAGGCCCUAGGGUUGUAAAGCUCUUUUGUGCGGGAAGAUAAUGACGGCACCGCAAGAAUAAGCCCCGGCUAACUUCGUGCCAGCCGCCGCGGUAA